UACGUAGGUGGCAAGCGUUGUCCGGAUUUACUGGGCGUAAAGGAUGCGUAGGCGGACAUUUAAGUCAGAUGUGAAAUACCCGAGCUUAACUUGGGUGCUGCAUUUGAAACUGGGUGUCUAGAGUGCAGGAGAGGUAAGUGGAAUUCCUAGUGUAGCGGUGAAAUGCGUAGAGAUUAGGAAGAACACCAGUGGCGAAGGCGACUUACUGGACUGUAACUGACGCUGAGGCAUGAAGGUCAGGGGAGCAAACGGG
rnacentral:rRNA from 1 species